rnacentral:rRNA from 1 species
CCUACGGGGGGCAGCAGUGGGGAAUUUUGCGCAAUGCUCGUAAGAGUGACGCAGCGACGCCGCGUGAAUGACGAAGGCCUUCGGGUCGUAAAGUUCUUUCGACAGGGAAGAAAAUGCAUAUAAGUAACUGUGUAUGUAUUGACGGUACCUGUAUAAGCAGCCCCGGCUAACUCCGUGCCAGCAGCCGCGGUAAUACGGAGGGGGCGAGCGUUGUUCGGAGUGACUGGGCGUAAAGAGCACGUAGGCGGUGUUGUAAGUCAUUAGUCAAAGACUAGAGCUCAACUUUAGUAAGGCUAGUGAUACUAUAAUAAGAGAGUAGCAGAGAGGAUUGCAGAAUUCCUGGUGUAGCGGUGAAAUGCGUAGAUAUCAGGAGGAAUACCGUUAGCGAAGGCGGCAAUCUGGCUGGAAACUGACGCUGAGGUGCGAAAGCGUGGGUAGCAAACAGGAUUAGAUACCCUAGUAGUC